UGUUCCUUCCGCAGAGUNCACUUGCCGAAGCCUUAGUGGCCCGAAAGGGUUUCACCAGCGACUCUAAACAAGUAGGUGGAUUAAAUGCUAGUCUCUUUGGAAGAGGCGACACUAUCAAAUUGCGGGAAGAUCCUGUCAGGUCCACAUCACCGCGGCUCACCGAAAGGUGUAGUGCAGCACCAGGCUAACAACCUUGGGUAUGGUAAUAGUAUGUGGAAUAGGGAGAAUCUGCAGCCAAGCCCCUCUCUUGGGGUGCAGUUCACAGGCCAAAUGGUAGUGGGCACUCUGGUGCUUAAGAUAUGGUCGAGUCCCAAUUGAAAAGUUGGGUACAAGUACUCUGAUUGAUUACAUACAAUCUAUGCUGGUUGUAAAUGCAAAUGUUCCGUAGGUGAACCUGC
rnacentral:rRNA from 1 species